CGAUAAUUAAUUAAUUACUCGAAGCUGAACGCAGAUUCAUUAAAUUCGGGGACAUCGUCCGGUGUUGGCCGGAUAUCUUGUCCCAUAAGAGUUUUUCCAAGUUUGGGGGAGUCGUGAGUUUUUUCCACUGCAGACUGCUUGUCAGUUACCAUAUAAUCCUCAGUUUCAAGAUGAGCAGUUGCAGGAUUUUUUUGGAAUUUCCAAUUACGCAAAAGCCCAAGUGCUAUUAGGUCACAUCCUAAUUGGCAAUACACAUUAGCAUUAUGCAAAACAAAUCGAUAUUCAAGACUUUCAUCAAUUUGCACGUUGCUGGAUCUUAAACAUUCAUAUAACAAAAUGAAGGCAGGAUCAUCAGACGGAAACUUAUUUCGUACGGGUUCGUUAGUACUAUUUCGUUGUGAAUCUUUAUUUUCGUGAAUUUCUUGGUCGUUUUUAUCGGAUGUAUAAAGUUGUAUAAAGUCAUUAUCGCUGACCAGCGAGCGAAUGGGAGAUACCAAACUUUGCAAGGCCUUUUUUUCCUGUUUUAAAAUAGUGAAACUCCAAUUGGUGAGCCAUCUAUCGUUUUGAGAUACAGCCAAAGGAAGUACAUACUCGUUUAUUAGCCUCUUUAAGGUCGGACCAUCGUCGCCUUCAUAGACUCGAGUCAUUGCGAUGGCUAAUGAAAUGCUUUUUAAAUUACGGAUACAUACUUUUGCGGCAUCAUAGCAACUAUCUGCCAAAAGAAAAAAUGCAGAAGCAUAAAAAUAUCUGUGCUUGCUUAAAAGUGCAAAAGCAUUCUUGGAUGCAACCACUUUCCACUUCUUUUUUGAAAAGUCAUUCGAAAGCAACUUAACCGUUCGAGCUGAUUCCUUAUGCCAACUAGCAAGACGCCAAAGAUCACGAAAUACAUUUAUUUUGUGUAGAGCAAUGUGAUAUAAACUAACAUUCUCUGGGUUCCUAUCGUCAAUCUCAGCGUAAUGAUUGCGAGACAGCUCUAAAAAUACAUCUUUCAGUAGCUGCUCAUUUAGCCAAAACGGUAUCGCAUAUUCUUCAACAGCAUUCCAUAACAAUGGUUUUCCAUGAAGCUUUUUAGUGUGGUCCAACAGAACAGCUUUGUUAGAGCUAUGAAAAGCCCACGCCAUCUCUCGGGUGGGCAAGCUUGUUAAUUGACGUUGAUGUUUUGAUAAAACGUACUGGUUUAGCAUAAUGCAAUAUCUUUUUCCGUUGAGGUCCAAUGAAUCUCGCAAUGCUCUUGCCUUAUUGAAUGCCUCGAUUAAAUUAAGAAGUAAAAACUGAGAUGAUCGAGUGAGGGUUUUGACUUUCUUUACUUUUAAUAAUGCAGUCAACUUCUUUAUCAUUUCAUCAAUGUAUAAUCCUAAAUGCUUUGAGACACUGGUCUCUUCAAAAUCCAAUUCCGCAGGAUUUAGAAUUUCCGCAGAAUUUUGGCUGAGACUUUUUAUUAAAAGGUCUUUAGAAAUUUCUUCGUCACAGCAGUAAAACUCACUGCAGUCCAUAUUUAAGAGAAAAUGCAUAUCUACAUCAUCUUUCAAACACAAGUAAAACCUUAGCAAAAUAUUAGUAAAUAGAAAGGGUUGGUUUCUAAGUAAAAGCUGCUGCAACAAUUGAGGAUGAAAAACUGGUAAAAUUCCAUUAAGCUGGUAUGCAAGAUCAAAAAUAUUUUUUGCGGAACGUUUCAAUGAUGCAGGGAACAGUAAAGACUGAUCUUCGGGAAGUGAAUUAUCAAAAUAAAAAAGUCCGUUACCAAUGGCAGUAACUAAAGUCCCAUUAUCCAACCAAGAAGAGUCAGAUAUUAAUGAAUUUGUAUAUUCUAAAAGAUUGUAUCUACGAAUACGAGACCAAC